GCAUCAGGGCCGGGGGACGGGUAAGGGGGGGGUGAAGAAGGGGCCGGCCUUCAAGCAAGAGCGACGCAAGAUGGCAGCCACCACGGGCUCGGACAAUUUAUGAAAACCGAAUAUACAGCCUUAAAAUAGAAUGUGGACCUAAAUACCCAGAAGCACCCCCCUUUGUAAGAUUUGUAACAAAAAUUAAUAUGAAUGGAGUAAAUAGUUCUAAUGGAGUGGUGGACCCAAGAGCCAUAUCAGUGCUAGCAAAAUGGCAGAAUUCAUAUAGCAUCAAAGUUGUCCUGCAAGAGCUUCGGCGCCUAAUGAUGUCUAAAGAAAAUAUGAAACUCCCUCAGCCGCCCGAAGGACAGUGUUACAGCAAUUAAUCAAAAAGAAAAACCACAGGCCCUUCCCCUUCCCCCCAAUUCGAUUUAAUCAGUCUUCAUUUUCCACAGUAGUAAAUUUUCUAGAUACGUCUUGUAGACCUCAAAGUACCGGAAAGGAAGCUCCCAUUCAAAGGAAAUUUAUCUUAAGAUACUGUAAAUGAUACUAAUUUUUUGUCCAUUUGAAAUAUAUAAGUUGUGCUAUAACAAAUCAUCCUGUCAAGUGUAACCACUGUCCACGUAGUUGAACUUCUGGGAUCAAGAAAGUCUAUUUAAAUUGAUUCCCAUCAUAACUGGUGGGGCACAUCUAACUCAACUGUGAAAAGACACAUCACACAAUCACCUUGCUGCUGAUUACACGGCCUGGGGUCUCUGCCUUCUCCCCUUACCCUCCCGCCUCCCACCCUCCCUGCAACAACAGCCCUCUAGCCUGGGGGGCUUGUUAGAGUAGAUGUGAAGGUUUCAGGUCGCAGCCUGUGGGACUACUGCUAGGUGUGUGGGGUGUUUCGCCUGCACCCCUGGUUUCUUUAAGUCUUAAGUGAUGCCCCUUCCAAACCAUCAUCCUGUCCCCACGCUCCUCCACUCCCGCCCUUGGCCGAAGCAUAGAUUGUAACCCCUCCACUCCCCUCUGAGAUUGGCCUUCGGUGAGGAAUUCAGGGCUUUCCCCAUAUCUUCUCUCCCCCACCUUUAUCGAGGGGUGCUGCUUUUUCUCCCUCCUCCUCAAGUUCCUUUUUGCACCGUCACCACCCAACACCUUCCAUGACACUUCCUUGCUUUGGCCAGAAGCCAUCAGGUAAGGUUGGAAAGAGCCUCUGACCUCCCUUGUUUAGUUUUGGAACCAUACUCACUCACUCUCCACCAGCCUGGGAAAUGAAUAUUGGGUCCUCAGCCCUGCCACCCUCUGCUGUCAUCAGCUGAUGCAUUGUUUUUAGCUCAGGUUUUGAUAAGGUGAAAAGAAUAGUCACCAGGGUUACUCAGACCUGCCAGCUCUCGGAGUCCUUGGUGGUUGAACUUGGAGAAAGACCGCAUGAAGAUACUUGUAAGCACACAUGAUCCCUCUGAAUUGUUUUACUUUCCUGUAACUGCUUUUGCUUUUAAAAAUUGAAGAAGUUUUAAACAGGGCUUUCAUUUGGUCAUCCUUGCAAUCCAUUGGGGUCUAGUUUGGAAUCUGACAACUGGAACAAAAAGAACCUUGAAUCCGGUGCAUGCCUUGGUUUUGGUGCUGCUGCUGCUUCCCAAGAUCCUCAGCAGGGAUUAAGAAGGAACCCGGUGUGCACAGCAGAUCCCCGAAAUUGGUGGGCUUGACCUCCUGGCAAAUUGCUGCGUCUUUCCACUUGCUGUUCAGGACCACUAAAUGCUGAAAUGUGGAUGCAUACCGAAAUAAAAGCAAUUCAUUGUGUACUAAAGGUUUUUUUUUUUUUUUUAAUUUAGUAUUUGUGUAAAACCACCUUUUGAAGCAGCAACUAUCAAGUCUGAAAAGCAAUUGAUGUUUCCAUUAAUCUUUUUCUGGGGGGAAAACCUUAGUUCUAAGGAUUUAACAUCCUGUAAGUGAAGUUUAACAUAACAGUAUUCCAUAAGCAGCCUUUUUAUUGUCAGACCAUUGCCUGAUUUUAAUAUAAUAAAAAAAAAGUGUGCGUUAAUAUUUAA
rnacentral:lncRNA from 1 species